AAAUGUGCUUCGCGAUCGCGAGGCUGGUGCCGGGAUCACGAUGAACAAAACGGUUAGUGUUGGACAGAAUGUUUUAAAACAUUUCAUCCGCGAGUUUGGGACUCAUUUACUCCAUUGUUGGUCAUUUUGAGAGCUUUUUAAAGUGGGUUGAAGAAGGAUUCAAGGGGAAUCACUUGGAGGUAAUAUUUUUGACUUCAUAACUUAUUUUUAUAUGAUGAAACACCUGAUUAAUGGUGAGAAUUUUGGGCAAAAGGGUAAUUAGGCCUUGAAUUUAAGAGGUCUUUAAAUACGAAUUUGAGGGGUCAUUUGAACUACGAUUUUUGUGUUCUUGUUAUGUAUAGACUCGUGAGAGUAUGAGGUUUCUGAAAUUAUAAUGUUCAUAUGAUUUCGAGAUGUUGUACUAAGGGGCGUUUUGGUUAUUUGACCUAAUUUCACGUUAGUUUUGAAUUAAUCGUAGAAUCAAUUGUUUUAGAUGUUAUUUACGAUAUGUUACUAAAUUGAAUAGAUUUGGGCCAUUUGGAGUCGGAUACUCGUGGUAAAGGCGUGAUUUCUAGUUGAUUUUGAGUUGAUUCGAGGUAAGUGGCUUGUCUAACCUUGUGUUGGAGACCUUCCCCUUAGGAUAUGAUAAUUGGUAAUUGAAUACAUUGCACGUGAAGUGACGAGCGUGUACUUCAGCAAAUUGUUGAAAAUCUAGUUUUGCUUUAAGUAUUUAAAACUGAGUUCCUUCUUACCUGCUUUAUUAUACUUGCAAAUUUAAGCAUGUUGUUAGUUAGACAAGCAUGUCUAGUUGAUUUAAAAUUGCCUAUUUGCUAAAUUUCCUUGGUUUCAUUACGUCAAACCAAGGCAUGCUAGGCUAGAAUUACUUGUUGCCUUGGUAUGAAAUUUCAUUUCGGAACAUCUCUUUGCUAUUAUUGUAUAUUUACAUUGGAACUACGGAUGUGGAAUUACGGUAGCUCCCCCUUGUCUGUUUACUUUGGGACUGCGUGUUAGAUUCCCAAUAGAUCCCCCCCUUCACAUUUACUUUGGGACUGCCGGUUAGAUUUCCAAUAGAUCCUCCUGCACAUUUACUUUGGGACUGCGGGUUAGAUUCCCGAUAGAUCCCCUUGCAUAUUUACUUUAGGACUGCAAGGUUUGAUUCUCGAUAGAUCCCCCUACAUAUUUACUUUGGGACUGUAGAUUCAAUUCCCGAUAGAUUCUCCUGCAGAGUGAUAUGGAACUACAGGAAUGCACCCUGUAGAUUCCCCCAGUAUGUGUUGAAACACGUUCUCAAGGAACUAAACUAAACGUGUGUUCAUAUUUGUAGGUUUUGAUA
rnacentral:lncRNA from 1 species